rnacentral:rRNA from 1 species
AGCAGUGAGGAAUAUUGGUCAAUAGCCUAACGGUUGAACCAGCAAUUUGGAAGAACGUAUAGCAAUUGCUAGUUGCAUAUAAUAGUGCAAUAUCGAUUUAUUCGAAUAAAGUUCUGAGUAAGUCUAGAUAAUGACUUAAUUUACUCACGUGUCUUGACUAAAUUGCGUGCCAGCAGUCGCGGUAAGACGUAUAAGACUAGUGUUAUUCAUCUUGAGUAGGUAUAAAGGGUACUCAGACGGCAAAUCAAGCCAUAGUAGGGACUAAUUUGCUAGAGUUACUUGUAAAGGGGCAUGAAAGUACAAAUGGAGAAGUGAUCAAAUACGCCGAUACCUUUUUUCGAAAGAAAUAAUUUGGCACUGGUAAAGGCGAAAGCAUCCCCUCAUGUGAUAACUGACGUUGAAGGACGAAGGCCUGGGGAGCAAUAAGGAUUAGAUACCCUAAUAGUCCAGGCAGAAAAUAAUGAAUGUCAUAGAUUAGAAUUAUUUUAGUCUAUAAAUGAAAGUGUAAGCAUUCCACCUCAAGAGUAAUGCGGCAACGCAGAAACUGAAAUCAUUAGACCGUUUCUGAAACCAGUAGUGAAGUAUGUUAUUUAAUUCGAUGAUCCGCGAAAAAUCUUACCACAAUUUGAAUAUUCCUAAAUACAGGUGCUGCAUGGCUGUUAUCAGUUGAUGUUGUAAAAUUUUGGUUAGUUCCAUUAAAUCGACGUAAACCCUUGCUUUAUUUAUUUUUUAUAAUAAAGCAAUUUGUCAUUAUAUAAGAUAUGAUAAAAGGGACUAAAACAAGUCAUUAUGGCCCAAAUAUUGUGGGCUAUA